AUAGUAAAACAGAGGAAUGUUUUGCCCUGUGACAUGAGUCAGCAUAAGCCUGCUUAUGCUAAAAGAGUCUCUCGUUACUUCCCAUAGUCCAUAAAAGUAGGUAAUGAAAAAAAUGUCAGAAAAACUGUGUGUACUAAUAAAAAAAAAAAAAAAGUGUGAUUUAUUGAAUAUUAACAUGUUUUGUGCAGCCAUCUAUUAAAGUUGUUGCUACUUUUUAAUUUAAUUUUUUUUUUUUUUUUGAAAUGACUACAGAUCCACAGGAAGUUGCAAAAAUAGUAUAUAAAGUCCCUUGAACCAUUCCUCCAGUUUCCCCAGUGGUGAUAUGUACCUGUAGGACAGUAUCAAAACCAGGAAAUUAACAUUGGUACAACUAUUCAAGUUUACGCACCAACCAUCAAGGCCAGAGAUGAAGAAAUAGAAGAUUUUUAUCAGCUGCUGCAGUCUGAAACUGAUCAAACAUGUAAUCGGGAUGCUUUGAUAAUUACUGGUGAUGGAACCCGAAAGUUGGAAACAAAAAGGAUCGGAGCUGCCCAUUUAGCCUCAUGUAUCUACUUGAACUAAGAAGCACACUCGUCACAAGUAUUAUUUAAUGUUUUGUAGUCCAUUCACAGUGUAAUUGCUUGCUAAAAGAAUGAGAUGAGCAAACAUCACCCUCUCUCUUAGGUGUGUAUCCUCUAUGAUGUGCUGCUAUACUGAGAAGAUUAUAUU